rnacentral:rRNA from 1 species
CCUGGCGGCGAUAGCGCGGUGGUCCCACCUGACCCCAUGCCGAACUCAGAAGUGAAACGCCGUAGCGCCGAUGAUAGUGUGGGGCUUCCCCAUGUGAGAGUAGGGAACUGCCAGGC